AGGACGAACGCUGGCGGCACGCUUAACACAUGCAAGUCGAACGGAGUUAUUGGAGCUUGCUCUGAAUAACUUAGUGGCGGACGGGUGAGUAACACGUGAGCAACCUGCCUUGAGAGUGGAAUAGCUUCUGGAAACGGAUGGUAAUACCGCAUAACAUUACCGGACCGCAUGAUCUGGUAAUCAAAGAUUUAUCGCUCAAAGAUGGGCUCGCGCCUGAUUAGAUAGUUGGUGGGGUAACGGCCUACCAAGUCGACGAUCAGUAGCCGGACUGAGAGGUUGGACGGCCACAUUGGGACUGAGACACGGCCCAGACUCCUACGGGAGGCAGCAGUGGGGAAUAUUGCACAAUGGGCGGAAGCCUGAUGCCAGCGAUGCCGCGUGGAGGAAGAAGGUUUUCGGAUUGUAAACUCCUUAUCUGAGGGACGAUAAUGACGGUACCUCAGGAGAAAGCUCCGGCUAACUACGUGCCAGCAGCAGC
rnacentral:rRNA from 1 species